CCUACGGGUGGCAGCAGUGGGGAAUAUUGCACAAUGGGGGAAACCCUGAUGCAGCGACGCCGCGUGAGUGAAGAAGUAUUUCGGUAUGUAAAGCUCUAUCAGCAGGGAAGAAAAUGACGGUACCUGAUUAAGAAGCCCCGGCUAACUACGUGCCAGCAGCCGCGGUAACACGUAGGGGGCAAGCGUUAUCCGGAUUUACUGGGUGGAAAGGGAGCGUAGACGGCAGCACAAGGCUGGGGUGAAAUGCCGGGGCUUAACCCCGGAACUGCAUUGGAAACUGUGCAGCUCGAGUGUAGGAGAGGUAAGUGGAAUUCCUGGUGUAGCGGUGAAAUGCGUAGAUAUUAGGAGGAACACC
rnacentral:rRNA from 1 species